AUCGAACGCUGGCGGCAGGCCUAACACAUGCAAGUCGAGCGAGCGGCGGACGGGUUAGUAAUGUCUGGGAAACCGCCUGAUGGAGGGGGAUAACUAUUGGAAACGGUAGGCAAUACCGACUACCACCGGAUCUGCCCAGAUGGGUUUCGCUAGGAGGUGGGGUAACGGCUCACCUAGGCGACGCACCCUAGCUGGUCUGAGAGGAUGACCAGCCACACGGGAACUGAGACACGGUCCAGACUCCUACGGGAGGCAGCAGUGGGGAAUAUUGCGCAAUGGGCGCAAGCCUGAUGCAGCCAUGCCGCGUGUGUGAAGAAGGCCUUCGGGUUGUAAAGCACUUUCAGCGGGGAGGCGGUACCCGCAGAGGAAGCACCGGCUAACUCCGUGCCAGCAGCCGCGGUAAUUC
rnacentral:rRNA from 1 species